rnacentral:rRNA from 1 species
UAAGUUUGAUGGCGACCGGCGCACGGGUGAGUAACACGUAUCCAACCUGCCGAUGACUCGGGGAUAGCCUUUCGAAAGAAAAGAUUAAUACCCGAUGGCAUAGUUCUUCCGCAUGGUGGAACUAUUAAAGAAUUUCGGUCAUCGAUGGGGAUGCGUUCCAUUAGGUUGUUGGCGGGGUAACGGCCCACCAAGCCUUCGAUGGAUAGGGGUUCUGAGAGGAAGGUCCCCCACAUUGGAACUGAGACACGGUCCAAACUCCUACGGGAGGCAGCAUG